rnacentral:sRNA from 1 species
CCAGCCGGUAGCCUCAUUCACCCAAUUGGG